AGGCCUAACCUGGAUGGCUGUGAGUUGGCUUAAUCUCAGCUGGCAACUGUGAGCAGUUAAUAACUCUCUCACAGUUGUAGCUGGGAUUAUGCUAAACACAGCAAUUUCUUUGCUCCAAUGG
rnacentral:pre_miRNA from 12 species